rnacentral:rRNA from 1 species
UUUGGUUAAGUUAGAAAGGGCGCACGGUGGAUGCCUUGACACUAGGAGUCGAUGAAGGACGGGACUAACGCCGAUAUGCUUCGGGGAGCUGUAAGUAAGCUUUGAUCCGAAGAUUUCCGAAUGGGGAAACCCACCAUACGUAAUGGUAUGGUAUCCUUAUCUGAAUACAUAGGGUAAGGAAGACAGACCCAGGGAACUGAAACAUCUAAGUACCUGGAGGAAGAGAAAGCAAAUGCGAUUUCCUGAGUAGCGGCGAGCGAAACGGAACAUAGCCCAAACCAAGAGGCUUGCCUCUUGGGGUUGUAGGACAUUCUAUACGGAGUUACAAAGGAACGAGGUAGACGAAGCGACCUGGAAAGGUCCGUCGUAGAGGGUAACAACCCCGUAGUCGAAACUUCGUUCUCUCUUGAAUGUAUCCUGAGUACGGCGGAACACGUGAAAUUCCGUCGGAAUCUGGGAGGACCAUCUCCCAAGGCUAAAUACUCCCUAGUGAUCGAUAGUGAACCAGUACCGUGAGGGAAAGGUGAAAAGCACCCCGGAAGGGGAGUGAAAGAGAUCCUGAAACCGUGUGCCUACAAAUAGUCAGAGCCCGUUAACGGGUGAUGGCGUGCCUUUUGUAGAAUGAACCGGCGAGUUACGAUCCCGUGCGAGGUUAAGCUGAAGAGGCGGAGCCGCAGCGAAAGCGAGUCUGAAUAGGGCGUUUAGUACGUGGUCGUAGACCCGAAACCAGGUGAUCUACCCAUGUCCAGGGUGAAGUUCAGGUAACACUGAAUGGAGGCCCGAACCCACGCACGUUGAAAAGUGCGGGGAUGAGGUGUGGGUAGCGGAGAAAUUCCAAUCGAACCUGGAGAUAGCUGGUUCUCCCCGAAAUAGCUUUAGGGCUAGCCUUAAGUGUAAGAGUCUUGGAGGUAGAGCACUGAUUGGACUAGGGGUCCUCAUCGGAUUACCGAAUUCAGUCAAACUCCGAAUGCCAAUGACUUAUCCUUAGGAGUCAGACUGCGAGUGAUAAGAUCCGUAGUCAAAGGGAAACAGCCCAGACCGCCAGCUAAGGUCCCAAAGUGUGUAUUAAGUGGAAAAGGAUGUGGAGUUGCUUAGACAACUAGGAUGUUGGCUUAGAAGCAGCCACCAUUUAAAGAGUGCGUAAUAGCUCACUAGUCGAGUGACUCUGCGCCGAAAAUGUACCGGGGCUAAAUACACCACCGAAGCUGCGGAUUGAUACCAAUGGUAUCAGUGGUAGGGGAGCGUUCUAAGGACAGUGAAGUCAGACCGGAAGGACUGGUGGAGUGCUUAGAAGUGAGAAUGCCGGUAUGAGUAGCGAAAGACGGGUGAGAAUCCCGUCCACCGAAUGCCUAAGGUUUCCUGAGGAAGGCUCGUCCGCUCAGGGUUAGUCAGGACCUAAGCCGAGGCCGACAGGCGUAGGCGAUGGACAACAGGUUGAUAUUCCUGUACCACCUCUUUAUCGUUUGAGCAAUGGAGGGACGCAGAAGGAUAGAAGAAGCGUGCGAUUGGUUGUGCACGUCCAAGCAGUUAGGCUGAUAAGUAGGCAAAUCCGCUUAUCGUAAAGGCUGAGCUGUGAUGGGGAAGCUCCUUAUGGAGCGAAGUCUUUGAUUCCCCGCUGCCAAGAAAAGCUUCUAGCGAGAUAAAAGGUGCCUGUACCGCAAACCGACACAGGUAGGCGAGGAGAGAAUCCUAAGGUGUGCGAGAGAACUCUGGUUAAGGAACUCGGCAAAAUGACCCCGUAACUUCGGGAGAAGGGGUGCUUUCUUAACGGAAAGCCGCAGUGAAUAGGCCCAAGCGACUGUUUAGCAAAAACACAGCUCUCUGCGAAGCCGUAAGGCGAAGUAUAGGGGGUGACACCUGCCCGGUGCUGGAAGGUUAAGGAGAGGGGUUAGCGUAAGCGAAGCUCUGAACUGAAGCCCCAGUAAACGGCGGCCGUAACUAUAACGGUCCUAAGGUAGCGAAAUUCCUUGUCGGGUAAGUUCCGACCCGCACGAAAGGUGUAACGAUUUGGGCACUGUCUCAACCAGAGACUCGGUGAAAUUAUAGUACCUGUGAAGAUGCAGGUUACCCGCGACAGGACGGAAAGACCCCGUGGAGCUUUACUGUAGCCUGAUAUUGAAUUUUGGUACAGUUUGUACAGGAUAGGCGGGAGCCAUUGAAACCGGAGCGCUAGCUUCGGUGGAGGCGCUGGUGGGAUACCGCCCUGACUGUAUUGAAAUUCUAACCUACGGGUCUUAUCGACCCGGGAGACAGUGUCAGGUGGGCAGUUUGACUGGGGCGGUCGCCUCCUAAAGUGUAACGGAGGCGCCCAAAGGUUCCCUCAGAAUGGUUGGAAAUCAUUCGUAGAGUGCAAAGGCAUAAGGGAGCUUGACUGCGAGACCUACAAGUCGAGCAGGGACGAAAGUCGGGCUUAGUGAUCCGGUGGUUCCGCAUGGAAGGGCCAUCGCUCAACGGAUAAAAGCUACCCCGGGGAUAACAGGCUUAUCUCCCCCAAGAGUCCACAUCGACGGGGAGGUUUGGCACCUCGAUGUCGGCUCAUCGCAUCCUGGGGCUGUAGUCGGUCCCAAGGGUUGGGCUGUUCGCCCAUUAAAGCGGUACGCGAGCUGGGUUCAGAACGUCGUGAGACAGUUCGGUCCCUAUCCGUCGUGGGCGUAGGAAAUUUGAGAGGAGCUGUCCUUAGUACGAGAGGACCGGGAUGGACGCACCGCUGGUGUACCAGUUGUUCUGCCAAGGGCAUAGCUGGGUAGCUAUGUGCGGAAGGGAUAAGUGCUGAAAGCAUCUAAGCAUGAAGCCCCCCUCAAGAUGAGAUUUCCCAUAGCGUAAGCUAGUAAGAUCCCUGAAAGAUGAUCAGGUUGAUAGGUUCGAGGUGGAAGCAUGGUGACAUGUGGAGCUGACGAAUACUAAUAGAUCGAGGACUUAACCAUAUAA